rnacentral:rRNA from 1 species
ACUUACGGCCAUACCAUCCUGAAUACGCCCGAUCUCGUCUGAUCUCGGAAAGUAAGCAGGGUCGGGCCUGGUUAGUAUUUGGAUGGGAGACCGCCUGGGAAUACCAGGUGCUGUAAGGG